UACGGGGGGGGGCAAGCGUUGUUCGGAAUUACUGGGCGUAAAGGGCUUGUAGGUGGCCAACUAAGUCAGACGUGAAAUCCCUCGGCUUAACCGGGGAACUGCGUCUGAUACUGGAUGGCUUGAGUGUGGGAGAGGGAUGCGGAAUUCCAGGUGUAGCGGUGAAAUGCGUAGAUAUCAGGAGGAACACCGAUGGCGAAGGCAGGUCUCUGGGCCGAUACUGACGCUGAGGAGCGAAAGCGUGGGGAGCGAACAGG
rnacentral:rRNA from 1 species